rnacentral:rRNA from 1 species
GAUGAACGCUGGCGGCGUGCCUAAUACAUGCAAGUCGAGCGAACGGACGAGGAGCUUGCUUCUCUGAUGUUAGCGGCGGACGGGUGAGUAACACGUGGAUAACCUACCUAUAAGACUGGGAUAACUUCGGGAAACCGGAGCUAAUACCGGAUAAUAUUUUGAACCGCAUGGUUCAAUAGUGAAAGACGGUCUUGCUGUCACUUAUAGCUGGAUCCGCGCUGCAUUAGCUAGUUGGUAAGGUAACGGCUUACCAAGGCAACGAUGCAUAGCCGACCUGAGAGGGUGAUCGGCCACACUGGAACUGAGACGCGGUCCAGACUCCUACGGGAGGCAGCAGUAGGGAAUCUUCCGCAAUGGGCGAAAGCCUGACGGAGCAACGCCGCGUGAGUGAUGAAGGUCUUCGGAUCGUAAAACUCUGUUAUUAGGGAAGAACAUAUGUGUAAGUAACUGUGCACAUCUUGACGGUACCUAAUCAGAAAGCCACGGCUAACUACGUG